rnacentral:rRNA from 1 species
CCUACGGGAGGCAGCAGUGAGGAAUAUUGGUCAAUGGGCGCGAGCCUGAACCAGCCAAGUAGCGUGAAGGAUGACUGCCCUACGGGUUGUAAACUUCUUUUAUAAAGGAAUAAAGUGAGGCACGUGUGCCUUUUUGUAUGUACUUUAUGAAUAAGGAUCGGCUAACUCCGUGCCAUCAGCCGCGGUAAUACGGAGGAUCCGAGCGUUAUCCGGAUUUAUUGGGUUUAAAGGGAGCGUAGAUGGGUUGUUAAGUCAGUUGUGAAAGUUUGCGGCUCAACCGUAAAAUUGCAAUUGAUACUGGCAGUCUUGAGUACAGUUGAGGUAGGCGGAAUGCGUGGUGUAGCGGUGAAAUGCUUAGAUAUCACGAAGAACUCCGAUUGCGAAGGCAGCUUACUAAACUGCCACUGACAUUGAUGCUCGAAAGUGUGGGUAUCAAACAGGAUUAGAUACCCCAGUAGUC